AUUCCCUUUCUUCACAGAAAGUCACUCACAAGACUGUGAUCUAGGAUGACACUUCAUUCCUACAAACUUGUGACAAGUGAUGGCAGUGUAGUGUCCCCAGAGUGAGCUCACAGCAUGCUCAGGGGCUGCCUCCUCUGGAGUGUCCUGCGUUACCUCCUCAGUGGCCUGAGUGCAGGGCAUACCUAUGGCCAGCAGUAAAGCACACACCAAGGUGCAGAGGGGAUGGCCCAAGAGCAGAGAGCAGGAAGCAGCUGCUGAGCACAGAUUUAAUGCUGGGCUCGUGGCCUGAGCCAGCAGCGGGGAUGCAGGACUGCACAGAGGACGUGUGGAACCCUUCAAAUCUCAAGCUCAUUGUAUCUGUCUGCAACCGAGGACUUGGGAAGCCUUGGGAAAGAGCCUCUUGCUUGUUUCCUGUCUGAUUGGAUCUUAUGAAGGGGCCGUGGUGGACCAUGAAAAUCUCCCUGCUCCC